AGAGUUUGAGUUCUGGCUCAGGAUGAACGCUGGCGGCGUGCAUAACACAUUCAAGUCGAACGGUGCAGUCUUGAUGGCAACUGAUGGACUGCAUAGUGGCGGACGGGUGAGUAAUACAUGAGCAACCUGCCUUUAAGAGGGGAAUAACACAGAGAAAUUUGUGCUAAUACCGCAUAACCCGACGGGAGGGCAUCCUCCUGCCGGUAAAGGAGAAAUCCGCUUAAAGAUGGGCUCAUGUCUGAUUAGAUAGUUGGUAGGGUAACGGCCUACCAAGUCUGCGAUCAGUAGCCGGACUGAGAGGUCGGACGGCCACAUUGGAACUGAGAUACGGUCCAGACUCCUACGGGAGGCAGCAGUGGGGAAUAUUGGGCAAUGGGCGAAAGCCUGAACCCCCAGCGACGCCGCGUGAGGGAAGAAGGUCUUCGGAUUGUAAACCUCUGUUGACAGGGACGAAGCAUGACGGUACCUGUCGAGGAAGCCACGGCUAACUACGUGCCAGCCGCCGC
rnacentral:rRNA from 1 species